UAAAGAAAUGUCCAGACCUAAAAUACCCCAACAAUAAUUAAUGUGGACGGUACACAGCGCAAUACGGCAUCCGAGCUCUCUGUCUCAAGCGGGCGCCAUUUUCAGCCGAUGUCAUCACAUGCGCAAAAUAUAACGAAAAGCCAUUCCUAUUUUGUUUUUGCUACAAUUUCUUUUCCAUCACAGAGAUUUAUUGCAAAGAUCUGCGUUUGCUCAACUUCGUUUCAUUACUAAUUACUUCAAUACUUGUGUCUCCUCCCUUUAUAGACAUUGGCCAUGACACCGAAGUCCCUGAUGGUACCAUCCAAUCAAACUUUGGGAACAUAACCGACAUUCAACCACUUGUUGGUACUGCUGUAUCAGGCCUCAAUCUCGACGUGGAAGAUCAGGAAAGCAUGGAGGCAAGUGACUACGUGCCGCAUAGAUCUGUUGCUGCGGUACAUACAGCGAGCGUCUUCGCAUUGUUCAUUCUGCAGCUUCUUCUGAUAAACUUCAAAUGAGGGAUGGCGGAAAAUCUUCUUGGUUCUUCGAUGCCACAAGACUGUGGGAGAUUGGUGCUCGCACUUGAAGACGCACACGGACGAUUAUCUU